rnacentral:misc_RNA from 1 species
AAAUUAAUAUAAAUCAUGUUAUUAAUGCUACUUGAUAUUUAGUGCGAGAUCAUAAAUAUGGCUGCGCCCUAGAGAUUGCACCAUGACUUCACAGAGACUAGAAAUUGAUAUCGGAAUUUGUUUUCCUUCAUGGAAAAACAGAGGUGAAAACUAAUCUUCAGCAAGUAUAUUUUUCACAAUGCCAAGAAGGAAGCCUUUUAGUGGGAAGCUUAAAAAGAAACAGCUUCAGGAGAAGAGAUUGCGAUUAAAAGCUAGGAAAGAAAGUGGUUCUGCAAGUUCUGAUCAGUCUGCUGAAGAUGGACCAUCUAUUGAUAAAUCGGAAGUGGAAAAGGUGAAGGUGGAAAAGCUGAAUGAACAACCACAGGCAGUAGACAAGAAAAGCGACCAUAACAGGUACAAGCUUCAUUUUCUGAAAGAAUCCAGUGAUGAAAUUCAGAGAAGAAAACGGGAAGCCAUGUCAACUUAUGUUAAUUUGCUGCCUGAGGAAUCUUUAGAAAUUGCUUUUGAUGAGGUGUUCCAGCCUGGUACAGUGCUUGACAUCCCCAAGAGACCUCCAUGGAACUACACCCUCAGUAAGGAAGAGCUGGAGCAUAAUGAAGAAGAAUAUUUUCAGCAAUAUUUAGAGAACAUCUUUGAACAACAUGAAGUGGAAAAGUUGAGUUAUUUUGAGUUGAACCUGGAGACAUGGAGGCAACUGUGGAGGGUGUUGGAGAUGUCUGAGAUCUUACUGUUGAUUGUUGAUAUUCGCUUUCCAGUUCUUCACUUUUCCCCAGCACUUUAUGAGCAUGUCACCAGGCAACUGGGAAAACAUGUUAUUGUGGUGCUGAAUAAGAUAGAUCUGGCGCCUCCCUCGCUAGUUGUGGCUUGGAAAGAGUACCUCCAGAAGAAGUUUCCUGAACUUAACAUUGUGCUGUUCACCUCUAAGCCUAAAGAUGCCAUGGAAAGAAGCAGUCUGUCUGGAAAAGUAUUACAGAGAAAGCGACAAAAGAGGGUAGAUACUGCAGUAGGACCUCAACAGUUACUGGAUGUGUGUGAAAGCAUUGUCAAAGAUAAAGUGGACCUGUCAAGUUGGAGAAGAAAGGUGGACAGUGGUCAUUUUGAUAGGCAUGAGGUGGACAGUGAUAGUGACCAGGAGGACACUGUGGCCUCAGCUAGCCAGGAAAGUUUAGACUUGUCCUACCAGGAACACGAGAGAUACAAAGAUGGUGUGCUGACUAUAGGAUGUUUAGGUUUCCCAAAUGUUGGAAAAUCCUCACUGAUGAAUGCAUUGGUUGGCAGGAAGGUUGUGAGUGUAUCAAGAACUCCUGGUCAUACAAAACAUUUUCAAACAAUUUAUCUCACGGAUACAGUACGACUAUGCGACUGUCCUGGACUCGUAUUUCCCUCAUUGGUGCCAAAACCUCUUCAGCCUGGGCUGCCAAAAGAGGAUUCCUUACAGCCAAAGCUGCUCGGAAUGAUGUGUAUAGAGCCGCCAAUAAUCUCCUGAGACUUGCCUUGGAGGGAAGACUUAGUUUGUGUUUACGUCCACCAGGCUACACAGCACAUAGAGAUCACUUGGGAAAAUCAUCCUGACACUGAGGAGAUAGCAAGACUGCAAGAUGCUUGUAAACGUUCUAGUAUGUCAGGUGAUGGGGAUGAUGAAGACAGUGACAGCAUGAGUGACAAUGACAAUGUUCAGAAAGCAUCACAGAAUCCAUUCUUGCUGCUUGGAAGUGUUGAUCAUGGACUGCUAGAUUAAGCAAGCUAUUCCCAGAGAAACUUUCUGAAUGUCACUUAAUAGUAUUUUUUAAAUUUUAUAGAGAAGUCGGUCCUUACAGCACAGAUAUUUUAUUUUGACAAGGAAAACAGUCUUGUUUGAUCCUUCUGAAGCCUAAGUCAUAACUAAAUCAAAGUGAUGAUAUAAACAUUGGAUAUUCUUAUAUAUUAUGUUGUUCCAAUCACUUACAAUCACUUGUUAUAAAACACAAUACCAAAUAAAGCUCAGGUGCAGCAGAUAUAAAAAGCUGAUUAAUAAAACUGUUAUAUUAUAUUUUGUUUAUUUCCCUCGUACUUGUUUCAGUCUGAAAGAAUCAAAUCUGUGAAAUACCUAGACCAUUGCUUGAAUCGCCUGAUUUGGUAACUAGACUCCAUGCAUAUAACAUAAUAAAAUUUUUGUCUGAGGGCAUAUUAUAGAGAUUAUUUAUAACGCAAAUGUUUUGUUGAUCCAAAGAGUUCCGUUAGCAACAUUUAAAGCUUAUAAAGAUUUGAAAAUCUUUUUAAAAAAAGCUUCGAAACUGCUGCGCGUCAAAUACAUGUAGUAUUUAUUUCUGGAAUGGCCAAUAACUUGCAAGCAGGUAAACGGCGGCUGUGACGAAGAAAAGGGCUUGGUUCUUGUCAUUCAUGAAAGCCCCAGCCCCACUUCCCACAGUUGGUUGAGCCGUGGUUGGGGUGCUAGUUGGUUGAGCCGUGGUUGAGGUGCUUGCUGGGGUCUUCUUCAAUCUCCCGAAGAACAAUAUGGUCCCAGAACUGUUUUCACGAAUGAAAAACAUGAACGGGCGGUCGGCUCUGAAGACGGGAAUUGGGUCGGUGUUCACGCUAGUAAGACCUAUUCCUAUCCCGGUGGCGGCCGCAGCCUC